CGGUGGCGAUGCUCGCCGGAGCAGCGUGCUGGGUCUUAGCCCCGCACGCUCCUUCGUCGAGUUUGGCUACCGUC